UUAAUACUCCCUCCGUCCAACAAAAGAUGUCUCAAGUUUGUUAAAAUUUGGAUGUAUUUAGAUAUGACUUAGUGUAUAGAUGCAUUUAAAUUUGGUCAAACUUGAGACAUCCUUUGUUGGACGGAGGGAGUAUUUG
rnacentral:pre_miRNA from 1 species